AUUGAACGCUGGCGGCAUGCCUUACACAUGCAAGUCGAACGGCAGCACGGGAGCAAUCCUGGUGGCGAGUGGCGAACGGGUGAGUAAUAUAUCGGAACGUGCCCGGUCGUGGGGAUAACGUAGCGAAAGCUACGCUAAUACCGCAUACGAUCUACGGAUGAAAGCGGGGGAUCGCAAGACCUCGCGCGAUUGGAGCGGCCGAUAUCAGAUUAGGUAGUUGGUGAGGUAAAGGCUCACCAAGCCGACGAUCUGUAGCUGGUCUGAGAGGACGACCAGCCACACUGGGACUGAGACACGGCCCAGACUCCUACGGGAGGCAGCAGUGGGGAAUUUUGGACAAUGGGCGCAAGCCUGAUCCAGCAAUGCCGCGUGCAGGAUGAAGGCCUUCGGUUGGUAAACUGCUUUGUUACGGAACGAAACGGUAGAGCUCUAAUACAGUUGUCUAAUUAGACGGUACCGUAA
rnacentral:rRNA from 1 species